rnacentral:rRNA from 1 species
AUUGAACGCUGGCGGCAGGCCUAACACAUGCAAGUCGAACGAGUGGCGGACGGGUGAGUAAUGUCUGGGACACUGCCUGAUGGAGGGGGAUAACUACUGGAAACGGUAGCUAAUACCGCAUACCAUCGGAUGUGCCCAGAUGGGAUUAGCUAGUAGGUGGGGUAACGGCUCACCUAGGCGACGAUCCCUAGCUGGUCUGAGAGGAUGACAAGCCACACUGGAACUGAGACACGGGCCAGACUCCGACGGGAGGCAGCAGUGGGGAAUAUUGCACAAUGGGCGGAAGCCUGAUGCAGCCAUGCCGCGUGUAUGAAGAAGGCCUUCGGGUUGUAAAGUACUUUCAGCGGGGAGGCGUUACCAGCAGAAGAAGCACCGGCUAACUCCGGGCCAGCAGCCGCGGUAAUUC